AUUCCAGCUCCAAUAGCGUAUACUAAAGUUGUUGCAGUUAAAAAGCUCGUAGUUGAAUUUCUGGUCUCGGACAGCGGUCUGCCUCAAACGAGGUACGCACCACCUGUUCAGGUCCAUCCUCGGAGACAACAUGCCUGUGAUUCAGUUCAUGGGUAUGGGAUCUUCGUCAUUUACUGUGAGCAAAAUAUAGCGUUCAAAGCAGGCUUAUGCCGUUGAAUACAUUAGCAUGGAAUAAUAAAAUAAGACCUUGGUCUAUUUUGUUGGUUUGUACUCCAAGGUAAUGAUUAAUAGGGAUAGUUGGGGGUAUUCGUAUUCAAUUGUCAGAGGUGAAAUUCUUGGAUUUAUGGAAGACGAACUACUGCGAAAGCAUUACCAAGGAUGUUUUCAUCA
rnacentral:rRNA from 1 species